AUAUGGUUUGAACCACAUUAAGUGUAAGAGCGGUAACGGUCAACAUUUAAAAACAGAGGAACUAGACGAAGUUGUGAGGACAUGGAACUCCCAUCAAAUAAGGUCAAGGCCAGGAAUUCCAGGAGGACGCCCAAUUUUAAUGUACUGCAUGCCACAGAUUUAUGGUGCAGGGGAGGACAAACUCAAAUAUGUGCUUCCAGAAGAGGUCACUGUUUGCAAAGUGGAAUGCACCCCAAAAUCCCAGUUCCCCUGUGAUGAAACAGUCUUUGAGCUUUGUGCUCUUCUUAUUGAUGAAAAUGGCUGGGAUGCUCCUGUUGAUGCAUACCAUGCAGCUGAACUGUACAUUCUCUUAAGAAAUCAAAUACUAGAUAAUAUCUAGAACUGAGCUUCUCAACACCAGCUAUGGGGAUCCACUGAUGAGCUGAGCCAAGCCAGUGGGUUCUCGGAACUGAAGUCACUUUCUAAGAGAUUGUGUCUGUAGUUAUAUUAAAAUAAAUGUGUUUAUAUGCAUGCAUCUGACAAAAUAAAAAUUCAAUAAUUUCACAUA